rnacentral:rRNA from 1 species
UGUAAAUUUGGUUCUGGUUUCCUUGCUUGGGUACAGCUUGGUAAGAACACAUGGUAGUUAACGCGCAGAAUGCGUAUAUCGGCUUCCGCAAAAAGUCGGCGACAGUUGCCGGAACGAGGGGAUUCACGGUAGAUAAUCAGGAAAAAUCCGAGGACUGUUAAUAGUUAAUUCAUAACUCCAGUGGAAAGAUCUUGGCAAUGUGCGACAGCUUGACCGGGAUAUAGUUUUUAGGGGAGACAAACCAGGUGCCAGCAGUCGCGGUUAGACCUGAGUUGCCCAAUUCAAGUCGACACAGUGCAAAAGGUGGUUAGACAGACCUAUUUUUAGCUUUGGCUAAAUCUUAUUUUAAAGGGAAAAGAAAGUGGAUCGACCCGGGAAGGAUAAGGGUACAAUCUGGUUGACCCUCCCAGGGAAGGAGUAUCAUCUUCUUUAGGCUGAGGCCACGGAACCGGGGACCCGAAGACAUGGAUUAGAGACCCAUUUAUUACCGACGCAAACUUUGCUAUGGGGCGGCUGCUAGGGGACUACGAGCGUGUGCUUAAAACUCAAAGAACUUGGCGGCUCGUUAACUACUCAGGGGAAUAUGCGCCUUAAUCCGAUGAUCCGCGUUACAUCUUACCUUACCUUGAAAAAGUACAGCUGGUGUAUUGCCGUUGUCAGCCUGUUGUUCGAGCAAAGCGAAACAGGCCCAAAGGAACUAGUCGAUGUCUAUUCGACAGAUGCCGUAAAUUCAGGUCGAAAUACUGCCUAUGGUACAGGGGAGUGGGUAUUACAAUUUGGAAUUAGAAUCACGGAGCUUGAAAAGAGGUGAAACCUCAGGUGAAGGUGAACUUGAGAGUAAGGGGAGAUUAAUAUGCUUCCCUGAACAUGUGCCUAACUUGUGUACAAACCGCCCGUCGCUCUCGGCGGAAGCUGAGAUAAGUCGUAACAAGGUAGGGGUACUGGAAGGUGCGCCCUGAAUAUU